UACGGGGGGGGCAAGCGUUGUUCGGAAUUACUGGGCGUAAAGCGCUCGUAGGCGGCCAACUAAGUCGGACGUGAAAUCCCCAGGCUCAACCGGGGAACUGCGUCCGAUACUGGAUGGCUUGAAUCCGGGAGAGGGAUGCAGAAUUCCAGGUGUAGCGGUGAAAUGCGUAGAUAUCUGGAGGAAUACCGGUGGCGAAGGCGACAUCCUGGACCGGCAUUGACGCUGAGGAGCGAAAGCCAGGGGAGCAAACGGG
rnacentral:rRNA from 1 species